UACGUAGGGGCAAGCGUUGUCCGGAAUCAUUGGGCGUAAAGAGCGUGUAGGCGGCCAGAUAAGUCCGCUGUGAAAUCUCGAGGCUCAACUUCGAGCUGUCGGUGGAAACUAUCUGGCUAGAGUCCGGAAGAGGAGAAUGGAAUUCCUGGUGUAGCGGUGAAAUGCGCAGAUAUCAGGAAGAACACCCGUGGCGAAGGCGGUUCUCUGGGACGGUACUGACGCUGAGACGCGAAGCGUGGGAGCGAACAGG
rnacentral:rRNA from 1 species